UAUUCCAUAAAAGUGAUUAACUGGGGGCUGGCCCGGUGGCGCAGUGGUUAAGUUCCCACGUUCCACUUCAGCGGCCUGGGGUUCGCUGGUUUGGAUCCUGGGUGUGGACAUGGCACCGCUUGGCAAGCCAUGCUGUCGUAGGUGUUCCACAUAUAAAGUAGAGGAAGAUGGGCACGGAUGUUAGCUCAGGGCUAGUCUUCCUCAAAAAAAAAAAAAAAAAAACGUGAUUAACUGGCAAUUUAUUACUAGGUUAAGACAUCAAAACAAUUAAAAUGAACAUAAAAAUCUAACAUUGCCAGACUCUUUGGACUCCCUGAGAGUAACUGACAUGACAUGUCCAUCUUUCUCCCCCCCAUGCGAACUCUUCAUAGGAACCCACCUGUCUCUCUAAUACCUCCUGACCUAGAGGUGACUGAUGGGCCCAGGUCUGAGUCCCAUCAAGCAUGCGGUUGUUUUUUGCAGGGGAAGAGAUCUGUCAGUUUUCCUGAAGAUGAGCUUGUCUACUAUGAAAGAAAAUCAGUGCUCUUUAACUGUGGACUAAACCAAGACAGAUGUCCAGUUCUUGCCUCUUCCCACCAUGUAGUCUUCCUGAUUUUGUUUGGUUGAUACUACCACCAAAACAGGAGCCUUCCUGGGGCCCGCCUGGUGGCGCAGCAGUUAAGUGUGCACGUUCUGCUUUGGCGGCCCGGGAUUCACCUGUUCGGAUCCUGUGUGCAGACCUACGCACGACUUAUCAAGCAAUGCUGUGGCAGGCCUCCCACAGAUAAAGUAGAGGAAGUUGGCUUCUUCGUGACCCAUUCUUAUAGAGGAAGAAGGCUAAGAACCCUCAGAUGUGUGAGACAGUCCUCUGACAGGAAAGACAGAG
rnacentral:lncRNA from 1 species